GCGAUUGCAUUAUCUGGUGAAUAUGUCUAAUGCCUGCAUGUACCCAUGUCUGUAGACGUAUGUCUGGUGAUAUGGCUCUUAGGGCGGUCAGAGGUGCGUUGGGGUGGAAUGUUUCUUUGGCCCCUACUGUAUCUAAGAAUUUAGACCAAAUGUGGACGGUCAGUGUUGUGGUGGGGUAUAGGUUUGGUUUGUCUGGUCUAUGUUUUUUUGGUGUCCAUAGGAAGUCGAGCGUUGCGUUUUUGUCCA